UUCUUCCUCUCUAGCUUUCUUGUAUUCAAACUUGUAUUCCAACGUUCCCGCAACUUACCACCAAGUCCUUUCGGUUUUCCGAUCAUAGGCCAUCUCCACCUUGUCUCGAAGCCACCAAUGCAUAAAGUGCUAGCAAUUCUUUCAAAUAAAUGCGGUCCAGUUUUUACUCUUAAAUUAGGCAGCAGGAACAUUGUUGCUGUUUGUUCUUUAUCAGCUGCUGAAGAAUGUUACAUCAAGAAUGAUAUAGUUUUUGCCAACAGGCCUCAGAGCAUAUUUGUCCAUUAUUGGAGCUACAACUACGCUGCCUUUUUAUUUGCUCCGUAUGGCCAUCUCUGGCGGACCCUGAGGCGUUUCUCGGUCACUGAACUGUUUUCUCGAAGCUGCCUCGAUCGGUCUGCUGCCAUUAGCGAAGAAGUCCGCACCCUUGUCCGCCUGAUUCUGUCCAAAGUCUCUGAUGAUGGAGCCAAGAAGGUGGACUUGAACUAUUUCUUCACAAUCACCUCUCUCAAUGUAAUUAUGAAGAUGAAUGCUGGAAAGAAGUGGGUGGAAGAGGAGAAAGCUGCCUGUAUCGAUUCAGGAAAGCAGUGUAUUGAGGAUGUCCAAAAGAUAUUCCCUUCAAAUCCAGGCACCACCGUGUUGGAUUUUUUUCCAUUUUUGAAAUGGUUUGGGUACAGGGGGGAGGAGGAGAGUGUGAUAAAGGUGUACAAAGAGAGGGAUGAAUUCUUGCAGGGCUUGAUAGAAGAGGUGAAACGAAAGGAAACAAGUUCAGUUACAAGUAAUCCUGCUGAAGGAGUGAAGGAUCAGACAACUGUGAUUGGAAGUCUAUUGGCCCUCCAAAAAUCAGACCCUGAAUUGUAUACGGAUGAAGUUGUCAAGGGUACCAUGGCGGUAAGAAACUUACGGGCCCUUCGAAGUUUUACAUGUUUUCUAAAGCUCUCUUGAAUUUAUAAGAUUUUUAAAGGUGUUCUUAGAAAUAGCCCCUCAAAAACAAAAAUUGUACGGUUUGGUCACCCCACUUUCCAAAGUCUGGAUUUAUCCCUAGUUAAAAUUAAGCAAAAUUAAUAAUUGUAAUUUUCUUAGACUGAGCAUGAAUUUUUCAUCUUCCGCAGACACUCUAUUUGGCAGGAGUGGAUACAGUAGAUUUCACUACGGAAUGGGCAAUGACAUUUCUGCUGAACCAUCCAGAGAGAUUAGAGAGGGUGAAAGCGGAGAUUGACAGGGAAGUCGGGCAUGAGCGCUUGGUACAAGAGUCUGAUCUUCCCAAGCUAAGAUAUGUCCGUUGUGUCGUUAAUGAGACCCUUCGUUUGUAUCCUCCAGCCCCACUUUUGCUGCCUCACGCACCAUCUGAAGACUGCAUCGUAGGUGGAUACAAGAUACCACGAGGCACGAUUGUGAUGGUGAAUGCAUGGGCCAUACAUAGGGAUCCCAAGUUGUGGGAAGAUCCUGAGAGCUUCAAGCCGGAGAGAUUUGAAGGUCUUAAUAAUGAAGGGGAAAAACAAGGAUUCAUCCCUUUCGGUAUUGGGAGAAGGGCUUGCCCUGGAAAUCACAUGGCCAUGCGCAGAGUGAUGUUGGCAUUGGCUGCGCUUAUUCAGUGCUUUGAAUGGGAAAGAGUCGGGAAGGAACUGGUAGAUAUGAGCAUCGUAGAUGCUCUUAUCUCUGUACAAAAGGCUAAGCCUUUGGAGGCUAUUUGUACUCCUCGUCCUUUCACAACUACUCUCAUCUCUCCACCCUAAUCCCAACUGUGACUUUCUACGGAACCAUUUCUAUUUGGAAUUAAAGUUCCGGGUCAACAGAACUAUCUCUAGUUGGAAAUAAAAGUUCCAAGUCUACUUUGCUUUGUAAUCCAAUCCAGAACUUGUUACUUAUUAAACUUAUUUGCCGAAGAUUAGAUGUAUUGAAGUUAUUACAAUGAAUAACAAUCUCCAUCAAAAUUAUUAUGAAUCUAAAAUAAAUAUUGAAGAGUCUAAUAUUAACUAAGUACUUUAAAGAUUGUAAAAGAUAUUUUAUAAUGUUUAUAUAUAUUUUAUGAAUUUGAUAAUAUUUUAUGAAUGUAUCGUUAUUUAGCUUAUUAUAUUUCAUCAAAACAUAUAAGUAGGAUCCCCUCUUAUGUUCUGAUAUUAUUUUUCCAAUAAAUUUGGUAUUAGAUCUUGAUAAUAGAUAUGGCUUCUAAUAAUACUCAGUUUUAUAUUUCUCAUCUUACAAAACAAAACUAUGAUCUGUGGUGUAUUCAAUACAAAGCACUACUAAGAUCACAAGAAUUAUAAGAGUUAGUUGAACAAUCAGAAUCAAUAAAAAAAAGAAUAAUAAAGCUUUAUUCAUGAUUUAUCAAGGACUUGAUGAAGCAAUGGUGGCACCAACAAAGACAUCAAAGGAAGCAUGGGAAAUACUUAACAAGAUUUAUAGUGGAGUUGAAAAGAUAAAAAGGAUCCGAUUGCAAGCAGAGGAGACUUUAAAAUGUUGAUUAAAGAAAAUAAUAAUACGGUUCUAGAUUACUUCACAAAAGCAAUCUCUUUAGUGCACCAGAUGAGAAGGAAUGCCGAACAUUUCCAAAAGAUCAUCCAUGGUUAUGGUUUUAAUAAAGAUGAAGUUAUCAAGGAGCAAACUAUAAAUACUCAUUAAUUCGAGACCAAAAGAUGCAUAACAUCAUUGAGAUUUCAUAUAAUGUUUUUUCUGACAGACAUGGAGUUCAUUUUUUUGUUUUUCUCACUACAUUCUGUAUCAAUAUAACCUGUAAAAGGGAAUGGGAAAAAACAAAUUUAAUCAGAAGAUGAAGAUAAUUUCAAUUCCUAAAGAUGGGGCAGAGCUAGAGAAAUGGAGAAGAUGCAUGGAGGAACAACUUUAAAUCCUAGAUAUUGCUUAUCAAGGAAUAAAACAUACACCAGUAAUUACUUUGUGGCUGGCAGCUUGGACUGAUGGAUGGAUACUGGAUAUAUAGUGACUGCUUGGUUGGAGUGGUUGAUAGAGAUGAACAGUGCUCGUUUGGGUCAUUUGUUAUUACUAGUCGGUGUUGAAACCAUAUUACAAAAUGAUUUUGAAUAACAUAAUAAAUACGAAGAACACUUAAGAUGUAGGAGUGUGAUGAAUUUAUGAAAUGAGAAGCAAUGUAUAUGACUCUUCGCUGUUUUAUCUGGUACAAGUUAUGUUGUAUACGUACAGUUGGUAGACAUGUAUUUUCUUAAUUGAUUAAUGAGGAUUUAAGUUAUUGCUAAUAAAUAUUUUAUUUCAUAUAAAAUUUGGAAGCUAUGAAAUUGGAGCAACUUUUGUAUGCUAAAAAUGACAAUACUUACCUACUAGCCCGGUGCCGCGCUCCGUUACGGCUCGAACAAAAUUCUUUUUUUUUCAACUUAAGAAAAAUACAAACAUUGUUGAUGUUUUUGUUGCGAUGUCGUAGUCACACAAAUUAAUUAUCCUGGCUUAAACAAAUAAGAUAGUAUACAGCAAGCAAGUGAUCAAUCCCACAAGAAAGAUCUAGUUCAGGUCUUUAUGCUAGAUGAUUCAAAUUAAGUUGGGAGAUUUAGAGGUUAUUUAGGUUAUGUUAUGGUAAAUAGAAUAAAACAAUCAAGCUAAAUUAAAAAAAUCUGAAACUUAUCAAGAGAAAAACCUUGGUCUCAAGUAAACCUCCACCUACAGAAAUCAAAAUUGGUUACUGAAUCGAUAUGUCAAUUUAUAUUUUAAAUAUCUAUCUUUUCUUAAUAUUAGUCAAUUAACCUAUCCGCACUCUAACCCUAACCAUUAAACAACCACAGUGUUUGCAUAAGUAAUUUAAUUUGAUAGCAGCCUUAAGAACUAGAUAGGUUGAUAUAGAUAACAUAACUGUCUGUAGUCUAUAUUCGAUUUAAUUGAAUGUUUUUUCUAAGAUUAAAAACAUAGAUCUACCAUAAUUAUUAAACCUAGUCGCUUCAUAAGUUCAAAUAUCACAACUCCGGUUUUGAUAGCAAACUUAGCAGUAGAUUGAUUUAGAAUAAUAAUUUAGAGUCCGCUCUAACAAUUAAACUAAACAAUCAUAGGAAAUAAGUAUAGGAAAACAUUCAUAUUCAUCAUAUAAAUUGAAAAGAAAAGAUAGAAUAGAUCUCAUGGUUUUUGAAUUUGAAGGUUUAUGUAUCAUUUCAACCAAGAAAAAUAAUUAAUAGAACAAGUGAGAACAUAAUUUCGAGUAUAAGAGAAAAUGGUAGAGUUUUUCUUCUUUUUUCUAGCUGCCUCCUCUCUUUCUUUCUCUCUUUCUUUUUAUUUCCUCAUAAACCCUAAUCCUCAAAUCCCUCCAAUCCGUUUAUAUCCUCUCAAGAAAAAUAAAAAUAGUCCUUUCCAAAAUGAACAAUCUACAUUUAAGUAAGUUAGAUUUGUUUCUUCACAAAACCUAUAUGCUGGCAAAAUUUAUAAGUUGUCUUAGCAAAAUCAUAUCUCUCUCAUAUGAGCUCCUUUUCUGCUGACAUUUAGUAGGCUGAUAUGUCUUUGAGUCAGGAUUUCAACAAAAUUGAUUUUGCAUCAAAUGUUCUCUAACUCAAGAUAUUCAAGUUGGAAUGGCCGAAGGUCAAAACUGGUAAAAUACAAGAUUUGUCUUUAAAGGCUAUGAUUUCUAUCCCCUUUAUUUUUUAUUUUUCUUGUCAUAUAUGAGGUAUGGAUGUUAGCUUUCUAAUGUCACUGGAAUCACUUUAUUUUGACCUCUAUAUCUCAAGUUCUGCAUAAAAUAUUGAUCAGAUAUCAAAUUUAUCAAUAUUCAACAUAGAUUGGAACAUAGUCUGAAUUUUAUCCUCAGUUUACUCCUUUUCGAAUCUCAUAUCUAAAAGUGCCUUCAAAACAUAAAAUAAAGAUUAUCAAGACAUUUUAUAUAUAAAAUAUGAACAAAAUACUAGGUAAAUGUGGGUAAAACUAUGAAAUAAUAUGGUUGCAUUAGUUUUUUUAAAAAAAAACAAUUCUGAUGCUAGCCCUGAUUUGAUUGAUUAUCUCAUAUAAUAAUAUUUAUUAAAAUUAUAAUUAAUUUUGAUUAAACUAAAAAUAAAAAUAAUCAUGAAUGGCAUAAGAAAAAAAAAAGAGCUUGCUAAUAUAUAAAAAAAUAUGAUGAUCUCGUUCAAAAAUAAUAGAAAAACAACCUUUUUAAUAUAAUAGAAAAGGGAUAUUAUCUGAUAAAAAAACAAUUGAAAACCAAUGGUAUCUAAUAAAAAAAUUAAAUUAUUUUUAAAUCAAUCUAUUUGAAUUGACCAAACAGCAAAGUGUAAAAUGUAGAGAAAAUAAAGAAGAAGAACAAAAUAGGCAAGGUGUGUGAGCCUGUGCAUGUCGUCUGCUCUUUAACUUAAAAAAAAUAGAGUAGCCUCAUCCUCCCUUUAAUUGUUUUUUAAAAAUAGUAUAGAUAACAUGCCAUCUAUUGUUCUAGAUUCCAAGGACCAAAGAGUUGCCGGAAAAUCAUGUGAGGACUAUUUUGUACCCAAAGACACAAUGAAGACCUUAAUAAACUCAUAUGUCCAUGAAUUUGUCAAAAAAAUCCAAAUCCAACUCAAAUUUCAAAACUUUCAUAUCCUAGAUUUAUUCCGUCAAGCAAGGUGAAGGUCAAAAAACACUUAAAUAGAACUUAUCUCGUCUAAUAAAACUCGUUAAUAUUAAGAUCGAUGCAAACAGCGAAUCUUUCUCUCUUCAACCUCUUUCAUUUCUCAAACCAAAUGGGCUGAAAAGAGAAGAAGAUGAAGUUUUGGAUUAAAAGUGAUUUUUUUUAAAUCAAAGGGACUAUAAAUGUAUCAAUUGAAAAAUAGAAGGAGCAAAGUUAACUUUUCACAUCUUAGUUUCUCUGCUUUUUCACUUGGAAAGUUAUUAAAUUCUGCCACCCAGUUUGUCAAGCUACCACUAGUACGUAUCUUUCAGAUCCUGAUUGAUCAUGUCUGCAGCAAAUCUUCUAUAUAUAGCGACAAGUCAACAAGUCAACAAAAUCUUAUACAUGCACGUGCAUAAUCUCAGCAUACUAUAUAUAAGCGUUUGAAAUGCGGUUGUAUUGUAUUUCUAAAAAAUUUAAUUAUUUUUAAUAAAAAUUAAUUUUUUUAUAUGUUUUGAAUUAUUUUGAUGCGCGAUCUCAAAAAUAAUUUUUAAAAAUAAAAAAAUAUCAUUUUGAUAUAUUUCAACACAAAAAAUAUUUUAAAAAAUAACCGCAAUCAUACUAUAUUGUACACAUCUUUGUCAAUUAACAAAUCAUAAAAAUUAUUUCACCUAACAUUAGUUGCUGUUUUAUAACAAUAUUUUAUUUUUGUUUUCUGCACUUGGUUUCUUAUAAUUUAAAUUGUCGGAUAAUUAUCACUAAAUGAUAUGAUACUAAGUAGUCCUUCAUUGUUAAACUCGUGUAAUUAUCACUGUUAAACUAGGUCUAUUAAUUUUAUAAUUAUCAAGAUUUAUUUUUCAAUUAAUUAAGGUAUUUUUUCCCUCACUUGUAGCUUGAAGUGCUUUGAACUCUAGUGGCUAAAGAAGGAAUACACCAUCCUAACAAUUAGAUUAAUUUUUUCUUCUAAUUAAUCUAUUGUGAUUACUUAUUUAACUACAUAUAUAUUGCUUUGGUGCUUGGAAUCCUUAUUUUCUACAUAACUUUUUCACUCUAAGUUUCUUACAAUUUAAUAAUUUUGUAUACCUUAUCAAGUGUAAUUGUCAUUACAAUUAAUUCGGCAUUAAUUGUCAUUAAUUAAUCGUUUAAGAAUUAUUGCAUUAAUUAAAUCAUGGCCCAUUAAUUAACGAAUUAUUACACAUUUGUUCCUUUUUCAAUGAUAAAACAAUAUAUCCGAUCAAUUUUUUUUUCUUUUUAAUUUUUUGCACGUGAAAUAACCUUUCAAUCAUCCUCGCCAUUAAUUCCUUAAUUUAUUAAAUUCAAAUCUUCAAUUUGUCCAGUUUAUUUUAUUCAAUUCUGGUCUUAGGCAUAUUCUCACGUGCACUCAUGUUCUUUCUAGCAUCGCUCUUGAGACCACCUCCAGUCUUCGACUUGGGAUCCCGUAGUUGUGGAUUCCUACGUUGUCAUUAUCCAAGGUAAUAAGUAAAUCUUCGAAGGUAAAGUGCCGGACUGAGAGUCUAUUUAUGACUUAAUUUUUCAUCGGCUAUGUCAGUGGAUUCGGGAUUUCAAACCCACCUUCAGCUACACGGGAAAUGAUCUAGCUCGAACUGCAGAUAGUAUUCGCUUUUGGUCUAACAGCAGCAUAUUAGCAAUUGUGUGAUUUCAGGCAGUCAUUUCUUGUGGGUUUUGGCUUUUGGAUGGAUGACUUUAGCAUCGACUCCAUGGCUCACUGAUCGAGAGUUUGAUUUUGGUGAAGUCUUUGAAUGAGCUCAUCGAAGAUCGGAAGAGUCCAACGGUUGCCCAUUGGCCAUGCUAUUUUUUAAUGCAAUUCUCGAUUACUUUUAAAAUAAAAUACCAAACACGCUAGGAAAAAAAAUCUCUUCCCUUGUCUCGUUCUAUCUAUUUAAACCUUGUUCUCCAUCCACAGCAACCCCACCAUGCAUGUUAAAAUGUUAUCGAUUCCAACAAACAACUCUCAAUUACUUGGCCAAUUGUUUCACCUUUAUAAUUAAAAACUUGAUAAAAAUUUAGAAUUUUUUUAUUCAAGUUUCAACCUUCAUCAAUCCAAUAGGCAGUCAAACACAUAUAAUUAAUAUUUUGGAUUGAUGUCCAAGUAUCGGUUGUUAAACAUACACGUUGAUCCUUAAAAGCAUUCUUUAAUUUUUUCCUUCUCAACUAAAUAAAUUUUCAAACAAUCUCUCCAAAUCGUCAAACGAGAAGGAACAUCAAAUCUAGGUUGCAUUACUUGACAAAUGAUUUAAAUCCUUGAUUUUCAACAAAGUUAAAAGGUAGCUCAUCAAGUAUAAUCAUUUUUUCUAGAGCUUUCCUACACUCUUCAUAACUAUAACCUACCGCCUUAAUAGUCACCAGAUUUUCCUCUCCAUUAUUACCCCCCUUUAUUAUAGGCCUAGGUUCUAAGACUAAAGUUUUUUAUUUUCGAUCAAUCACAAAAGGAAAUUUUUUUGCAUACACCUAGAUGACUCCACAUGUUACUAGUCCCAUUAAGUAUAGUAUGACAUGCAUAGUCUUUUCCACAAUACAUACAUGCAGCCCUAGGAGCCUUAACAUUACCAUCUAGUUUCUUAAAGUGGUCCCAAAUUUAAAAUAUUUUUCUUUUAUUAAAUCUAGAAGCUGGAUUACCUUCACUUUCAGUGUUGCUAUUUGUACUAGAAUUAGCAAUUGGAACUGGAAUAGGCACAGAAUUGGGUUCCAAACUUGAAGGAUUUGAUUCAAUUGAUGUAGGAUCUUCCCGAUUAUCUAUCUGAAAAUAAAAAAAACAACAACAUGAAUCAACAUCUGACUACAAUUGACUAAUUGAGAAUCAAUUCAUUGCAGAAAUACUGUAACCAUAUAUUGAUUUUCCAUGUUAACCAAUAACCAUAUUAACCAAUAUCAUAUACACUUUAAUGGACUAGGCAAAAAACAGAUUGAAUAUCAAUUCAUUGCAGAAAUACUGUAACCAGAUUGAAUAAUGCUAUGAACACUGUUAAAAUCCAUUUUGAUAAAGCAAAUAUAUAACUUUUCACCAACCAUCAUAAGCCAUAAAUCUAGCCAAACUCUCUUCACCAACCAUCAUAUAACUUUUCCUGACCCGAUUCAAAAAACACAGUACCCAAUCCUAAUUAGCUUAUCUGUUUCAAAGUGGAACCCCCUGUUUUUAGUUUCAACCAGCCUAGAACAGAAACGACAUAGGACUCUAACCCUUUUUUAUACCCUUGUAAUGUGAUUCAAAACUCAAUCCAAUGAGACUAACAAAGUAACAAUGUUGCAAAUUACAUCAAAUCAGCAAAGAAUAAACAAUUAAAGUAUUCGUUGAGUGCAGGACAGAUAAUGCAGACCCCCCUAAUCCAAACAGCAAAGACAAACUAAUCAAGAACCGUAACAACAGGAAAAAGGAUUCUGGCAAAAAAAUUGUUCCCUUACCUUGAAAGGGCAAGCCAAAGGCUGAGAUGGACCACAAACAACGGCGAAACCUGAGGAAGAUAAAAAGAAAGCAGAAAAUUAAGAAGAGUUAAAAAGGUCCAAGCCUUGGGAAGCCAAUGGCAAGAAACGUCAGAGAAGCAUCAAAGUUUGAAACAAAAGGUUGAACUUACAAGCACACGAAAAUAAACUUUACCUUGCCGCCUUUUCUCUAAUAGAGGAGCCCUCUCUUUCUGCUGCAAGUGAAGAGAGAAGCCAAGGGGUUUUGUUCAGGUUUUUGUUCAGCUGCAAGUAGACUAAAUGGAUGUGGAGAUGUGGGUUGUUGACUUAUUGUUCGACUAGAGAAGAGACAGAUGCAGGGGGCAAGAGCAAGACGCGGGGAGGAUGAAAAUUAAAGGGGCAAGAGUCAAGAUGCAGGGGCAGAGGGCAAGACAGAUGCAGAAGGGAGAAGAGGGAGGAUGAAAAUUGAAGGGCGGCGACUUUAGAAUGUCAAUUAGGGUUAGGCAGCUUAGUGGUUUACUCUUUAGUUAUGUAAUUUAUACUACCGAUUCGGUUCACCGGUUUAAGUGGUCAAACCGGAACCGAACCGAACCGGCAAGAUUUUAUGGUUUUAAAAAUCGGUUUAAUCGGUUUUCUAUCUCGGUUUGGUUUCCUCGGUUAAUUUUUUAUUGGUUCUCUCGAUUUUUUUGGUUAAUCAGUUUUUUAAAACACCCCUAAUUCAAUCUAUAACGAUCCAUGGGAUCAUGCCAAUUACCGUGAUCAGUGGGAAGAGUUUUUAUGCUGCUCAAGAGUCCUGAACUCGGUACUAUAGCUGGUGGGUGAAUGUGAAGUUGUCUUUGAUGCAGCUGGCAAGUCCAAAUGCGCAGUUGGUACGUAGAAGAGUCCGAUGUGUCAUUGAUGAGACCCUUCGUUCGUAUCCUCUCCAUCACCACUUUUGCUGCCUCAUGCUCCUCCUGGAGACUGUAUCCAUGUUUUUAACCCACGGAUAAGAGGAUUCUUUGCAAUCAACUUUAAAUCCUAGAUAAUAUUGCUUAUCAAGGAAAAAAAACAUACACCAUUAAUAAUUACUUUGUGGCUGGUAGCUUGGACUGACGGAUGGAUAUAUAAUGACUUCUGGGUUGGAAUGGUUGGUAGAGAUGGAACAGUGCUCAUGUUGGUGUUGAAACCAUAAUGUAAAUGAUUUUGAAUACCAUAAUAAAUACAAAGAAAUUCUGAGAGUGUUUGAAAACGCGGGCCAACCCGUGUUUUUAAAAAAAUUAAUUUUUUUUUAUUUUCUUAAAAAUUAUUUUUUUAUGUUUUAGAUCGUUUUGAUGCGUUGAUCUCAAAAAUAUCAUUUUGAUGUAUUUUAACAUGAAAAGUAUUUUAAAAAGCAACCGCAAUCACACUCUCAAACAAACCCUAGAUGAAGGAAUGUAUCUUUUCUCUUGUUGGUUUCUUAUAAUUUAAAUUGUCAGGAUGGAUGGGACAUUAAGCAAUCAUAUAAUUAUCACUAAAUGAUAUGAUACUAAUCAGUCCUUAAUUGUUAAACUCAUAUAAUUAUCACUUUGAUCAACCAUAAACUAUGUCUAUAAUUUAUCAAGAUUUAUUUUUCAAAUAAUUGAGGUAUUUUUUCCCCUCACUUGUAGCUUGAAGUACUCUGAACUCUAGUGGCUAGAGAAGGAAUACACCAUCCUAACUAUGACACCAAUACCUCAAGUAAACUAUUCAAGGAAUGUGAUUACUUUUUCAUUAUAAUUCAAUUUUUCCUUCCAAUAUAUAGUAAUUACUUUAUUUAACUUUAUAUGCUUUGGUGUUCGGAAUCCUUGUCUUCUACAUAAUUUUUUCACUCUAAGUUUCUUACAAUUUAUUAACUUGUAUAUACCUUAUCAAGUGUAAUUGUCAUUAAUUACAAUUCCGGCAUUAAUUGACAUUAAUUAAUCAUUUAAAAAUUAUUGCAUUAGAUCAUGGCCUAUUAAUUAACGAAUCAUCUUCAGGGGCUCGUGGGAUUAUUUUUUCAGCAAUUCUCAUUUGAUUUCACAAUUGAGACCACCUGCCAGUCUUUGAGUUGGAAUCUGGCAGUUGUGACUUCUUACUGUCAUCGUCAAAUGCAUCAAGAAAACAUUUUUAAAAAUAUUAUUUAGAUGUAACCAUGUAAAAAUUAAAAAUCUCUUCCCUUAUCUCAUAUCUAUCUAUUUAAACCUUGUUCUCCACCCACAGAAACCCACCAUGCUUACAAAGAAUUUGUUCUUCACCAUGAACUACAUUUACUACUGCCUUGCUUUCUUCCUCUCUAGCUUUCUUGUAUUCAAAC
rnacentral:lncRNA from 1 species